CCUCAACUGACGACAGCUUUGACAUCUUGAACAAUCGACAGAGACUUUGAUUAAACUUGGGGGGUAUCGAAAGGGAGACGCAAAAUAUGCAUUACUUAUUAUGUGUGCCGUACUUAGGAUUUAAAAAAGAGCUCUAGGAUUUUUAUCAGAUUAUCCGGGAAGAAAGAAAUCCUGAAAGAAAAAUGUGGCUGAAAUGAAUAUCGGGUUAGGAAGCUAAAAACUUCUGCCUAUUGUGAUGAAACGCUUGCGCCUGUCAAUCAAUGAAGUAUAACUGCGUCAACCUCUCAGAUACAGAUACCUCAUAAUAUCGGCAUCAUCGCAGCUGCUCCACCAUAUUCUUUUAACGUUGAUUCCAAAAGUUUGCUGGCGGUGGGAAACUGCACUUUGCUUCAUCAGUGAGGAUCGGGCGAAGAGAGAAUUGUACCAAUUUACCAUCCAAAUCAUCCUACCUACUCAUGGCUAGAAGCCGUUUCGG